CCUACGGGUGACAGCAGUGGGGCAUAUUGCGCAAUGGGCGACAGCCUGACGCAGCGACGCCGCGUGAGGGAUGAAGGUCUUCGGAUCGUAAACCUCUGUCAGCAGGGAAGAACGGUCACUGUGCUAAUCAGCAGUGAAUUGACGGUACCUGCAAAGGAAGCACCGGCUAACUCCGUGCCAGCAGCCGCGGUAAUACGGAGGGGGCGGGCGUUUAUCGGAAUUACUUGGCGUAAAGCGCUCGUAGGCGGGAUGUCAAGUCCAGGGUGAAAUCCCCGCGCUCAACGUGGGAACUGCCUUUGAAACUGGCAAACUGGAGUGUGUGAGAGGAUAGUGGAAUUCCAGGUGUAGGAGUGAAAUCCGUAGAUAUCUGGAGGAACAUCAGUGGCGAAGGCGACUAUCUGGCACAUAACUGACGCUGAGGAGCGAAAGCGUGGGUAGCAAACAGGAUUAGAUACCCCAGUAGUC
rnacentral:rRNA from 1 species